UACAGAGGAUGCAAGCGUUAUCCGGAAUUAUUGGGCGUAAAGCGUCUGUAGGUGGCUUUUUAAGUCCGCCGUGAAAUCCCAGGGCUCAACUCUGGACAGGCGGUGGAAACUACCAAGCUGGAGUACGGUAGGGGCAGAGGGAAUUUCCGGUGGAGCGGUGAAAUGCGUAGAGAUCGGAAAGAACACCAGCGGCGAAGGCGCUCUGCUGGGCCGACACUGACGCUGAGAGACGAAAGCUAGGGGAGCGAAUGGG
rnacentral:rRNA from 1 species